rnacentral:rRNA from 1 species
AUUGAACGCUGGCGGCAGGCUUAACACAUGCAAGUCGAGCGGGGUGAUGGUGCUUGCACUAUCACUUAGCGGCGGACGGGUGAGUAAUGCUUAGGAAUCUGCCUAUUAGUGGGGGACAACAUCUCGAAAGGGAUGCUAAUACCGCAUACGUCCUACGGGAGAAAGCAGGGGAUCACUUGUGACCUUGCGCUAAUAGAUGAGCCUAAGUCGGAUUAGCUAGUUGGCGGGGUAAAGGCCUACCAAGGCGACGAUCUGUAGCGGGUCUGAGAGGAUGAGCCGCCACACUGGGACUGGGACACGGCCCAGACUCCUACGGGAGGCAGCAGUGGGGAAUAUUGGACAAUGGGUGGAACCCUGAUCCAGCCAUGCCGCGUGUGUGAAGAAGGCCUUAUGGUUGUAAAGCACUUUAAGCGAGGAGGAGGCUCUUUUGGUUAAUACCCAAGAUGAGUGGACGUUACUCGCAGAAUAAGCACCGGCUAACUCUGUGCCAGCAGCCGCAGUAA